AUUGAACGCUGGCGGCAGGCCUAACACAUGCAAGUCGAGCGGAUGAAGGGAGCUUGCUCCUGGAUUCAGCGGCGGACGGGUGAGUAAUGCCUAGGAAUCUGCCUGGUAGUGGGGGAUGACGUCCGGAAACGGGCGCUAAUACCGCAUACGUCCUGAGGGAGAAAGUGGGGGAUCUUCGGACCUCACGCUAUCAGAUGAGCCUAGGUCGGAUUAGCUAGUUGGUGGGGUAAAGGCCUACCAAGGCGACGAUCCGUAACUGGUCUGAGAGGCUGAUCAGUCACGCUGGAUCUGAGACACGGUCCAGACUCCUACGGGGGGCAGCAGUGGGGAAUAUUGGACAAUGGGCGAAAGCCUGAUCCAGCCAUGCCGCGUGUGUGAAGAAGGUCUUCGGAUUGUAAAGCACUUUAAGUUGGGAGGAAGGGCAGUAAGUUAAUACCUUGCUGUUUUGACGUUACCAACAGAAUAAGCACCGGCUAACUUCG
rnacentral:rRNA from 1 species